GACGUAGGGUCCGAGCGUUGUCCGGAGUUACUGGGCGUAAAGGGUGUGUAGGCGGUUGUUUAAGUUUGGUGUGAAAUCUCCCGGCUCAACUGGGAGGGUGCGCCGAAUACUGAAUGACUAGAGUGCGGGAGAGGAAAGUGGAAUUCCUGGUGUAGCGGUGAAAUGCGUAGAUAUCAGGAGGAACACCGGUGGUGUAGACGGCUUUCUGGACCGUAACUGACGCUGAGACACGAAAGCGUGGGUAGCAAACAGG
rnacentral:rRNA from 1 species